rnacentral:misc_RNA from 1 species
UAUAACAUUACCAGUCUGCCGCUUGCUUUAACCGGCUUGCCGGCGAAUGAUGGAGUUUCGCGUAUACGCGUGCUCUUAAAUAAUUCACUCAACGUGUGAGCCAGCCCAGUUUGCAACAUCGGACAUUACCGUUCGUUGACGUUCUGUGGGAUUACGGCGGGUUGUGUGUCCUAGAGAUUUUAUAUUCUUGCGACCCUCCCGAUCACCGGAAACCCGAACUCUUCGUAAUGCGGUAUCGUUCCGGCAAAUUUGGACGAUUCAAAGGUUCCUCGUCGAUAUUGAGUGCGCCUGCUUACUAUCGUUUGCGAGCACACCAUAAUCUUAAUA